CUCUGAUUCUCGGUCCAAUGAGACGGAGGUGAGACCCCCCAGGAGGCCGAGGGUGGCUUGGCAGGCGUGGAAUCCAGAAGAGGAAGAGGAGAACCAGGUGGAGAUCAUACGUCCACGUGAGUAAUUGGUGGGAAGCACUGGGGACAGCAGUCAUGCUCUACUCAAAGCUGGCAGCCACUUUUUCUGGCACCACCUUUUCUGAAACCCCCCUCCCCAGCAUGGAGUCCAGCUCUAGCUAAAGGGAUCGUGGUACCAUGGAAUCCUGGAAUGGUUGGGUGUGGAGGGGCCUCAAAGCCCUCACGGGCCCAGCCCCUGCCGUGGGCUGGUUGCCACCCACUAGAUCAGGCUGCCCGUGGCCCCAUACAGCCUUGCCUUUAGCACCUCCAAGGAUGGGGCACCUGCGGCUUCUCUGGGCAGCCUGUGCCAGUGCCAACCUCUCCCAGCCUGUUGGGAUGGCUGACGAGAGGCUGCUGCGCUGGCAGGAGGUACCCGCAUUUCCGCAGUCAGGCUCAGGGAAGCUGGCAGGAUGGAUGGCUCCGUGCAACACGCUGGGGCCAUUCCUUCCGUCACUCCUUCCCUUCAGCCCCUCUCCAUGGUGCUCAUUGUUCUCCUCCUUGCUUAGGUACUACCAUAUGGGAGCUGUGGAGAAAAGCGGCCAUUCUAUGCAUCGGUGAGUUUCUGAAGAGACAGGACAAGGAUGAGCGACAGAAAAUCAAAUUCCUGAGCAGCAUCUGCGUACUGUGCAAAUGCAAGGACACGUCGCUCGACUUGAAUACUUUCUGCCGAGAAAACCAGCUGGCAGAGAAUGUCCAGGCGCUGAUCGAUGAGGAGGCCAUGCACGCUUUGUGCUCAGUGAUAAAGCAGAAAGUCAUGCUGACCUUUGCUGACAUGAGCACUGUGGAGACAGCACUGGAAGGCAAAACAGAGAGCAUCCUGAAUUCCUGCUUCAACAGUGUCUUCUUUUUGCCUCCGGAACUGGACGUACCAGAAGAGGAGCAAACUCUCUACACUAAGACCAUGAUUGCCAUGAACGUCAUGCUGCGAGCCUUGGUGCACAACUGCCCCAGCUCCAGAAUGAGGGAGGAGAUGUGCAGCAUCUUUCAGGCUCUGCUCCACUUCUUCCACUCCCAGCACAUGCACGUUCGUACGAGAGCCCUGUACGGGGUUUUACGGAUGAUCACGGACUUUAUAGAAAAAGACUGGUACUGCGCUGCAAAUUGCGGGUUUAUAUAUGAGUC
rnacentral:lncRNA from 1 species